CUGCGGGUGCUCAAUUUCGUCUGAAGGAGCAGACGGAGAACACAAAGGCAACUCUGAGCCAGCAUGAUUUAUCGCUGGCUUCGACCGAAUUAUGCUCGGCGCAUGUAAGCGAUGAGUACAACGGAAAUGAACGUUGAUGCCUGAAGCAUUUUCCUCCCCUUGCGCGGUUUUCUUUGAAGAAUGCAACGAGUAGAGGAAGAGUCCACCGAAGAUUCCUGCUCAAGCUCCUGGAAAUCCUCCUCAGUAGUCGUGGAGGAAUAUGGCACACCUACUGAGAAUUUCAUGCCCAUACUGGAAGUAUCUGAGAAGAUGAAUUCGAAAUUUUUCUCCGACAUGCCCCUUCCCUUGCGUAGGAUGCUCUGUGAAUAUGCGGAGUAGAGUUUCUCCCCAGGGGGUGAAACUCCACUCCCAUCUUGCAUACUCGACAGAUUUGUAUAUUCGAGUUGAUUAUCAGCUGAGAGUCCUCCAAAAGAACGUAAGCGCCAUCAUCACCAUUCAAGGGAGGACGUUCCUCGGCAGUUCAUUGAGGUUCACUCUUACUUAGGAAGUGAAACUGUUUCAGAGAAUGUAGAUUGCUGGAUAGUAUUACCGAGCGUGAUACUGGUACUGAUUGGUAUCGGCCAGGUGCUAUCAAAGAUCUAGGGAUCAUUUGGGAUACGACGCCCUCUUCUCUCCUGUAAUUUGAAGCCAUUCAUACUUCUACCCGAUGUUCGUAAUCAAAAUCGGUACUCUAGGGGCUCAAACAUUUUAAAACA